CCUACGGGCGGCUGCAGUGAGGAAUAUUGGUCAAUGGGAGAGAUCCUGAACCAGCCAAGCCGCGUGAGGGAAGACGGCCCUAUGGGUUGUAAACCUCUUUUGUCGGGGAACAAAACCCGGGACGUGUCCCGGACUGCGUGUAUCCGAAGAAAAAGCAUCGGCUAACUCCGUGCCAGCAGCCGCGGUAAUAUGGAGGAUGCGAGCGUUAUCCGGAUUUAUUGGGUUUAAAGGGUGCGUGGGCGGUCCGUUAAGUCCGCGGGAAAAUUGCGGGGCUCAACCCCGUCGAGCCGUUGAAACUGGCAGACUUGAGUUGGCGAGAAGUACGCGGAAUGCGCGGUGUAGCGGUGAAAUGCAUAGAUAUCGCGCAGAACUCCGAUUGCGAAGGCAGCGUACCGGCGCCAGACUGACGCUGAGGCACGAAAGCGUGGGGAUCGAACAGGAUUAGAUACCCUGGUAGUC
rnacentral:rRNA from 1 species